CAGUCGCCGCGGUAAUACGUAGGUCCCGAGCGUUGUCCGGAUUUAUUGGGCGUAAAGCGAGCGCAGGCGGUUAGAUAAGUCUGAAGUGAAAGGCAGUGGCUCAACCAUUGUAGGCUUGGAAACUGUUAGACUUGAGUGCAGAAGGGGAGAGUGGAAUUCCAUGUGUAGCGGUGAAAUGCGUAGAUAUAUGGAGGAACACCGGUGGCGAAAGCGGCUCUCUGGUCUGUCACUGACGCUGAGGCUCGAAAGCGUGGGUAGCGAACAGGAUUAGAUACCCCUGUAGUCCCUGUCUCUUAUACAC
rnacentral:rRNA from 1 species